rnacentral:pre_miRNA from 1 species
AAAGUACUCCCUUUGUCCCAAAAUUCUUGUCUUAGAUUUGUCUACAUACAGAUGUAUCAAGUCACAUUUUAGUAUUAGAUACAUCCGUAUCUAGACAAAUCUAAGACAACAAAUUUGGGACAGAGGGAGUAGUUG